rnacentral:rRNA from 1 species
CACGUAGGAGGCGAGCGUUGUCCGGAAUCAUUGGGCGUAAAGGGCGUCUAGGCGGUUUGGUAAGUGGGAUGUGAAAUCCCCGGGCUCACCCCGGGACCUGCAUCCCAAACUGCUGAGCUUGAGUACAGGAGAGGGUGGGGGAAUUCCAGGUGUAGCGGUGAAAUGCGUAGAUAUCUGGAGGAACACCGGUGGCGAAGGCGCCCACCUGGCCUGCUACUGACGCUGAAGCUCGAAAGCUAGGGGAGCAAACGGG